AACAAAUUCACAUGCAUGUCAACACUCCAGCAAAAUGGUGAUCUCAGCAAAGAUCAUACUGAAAAAGGAAAAUUAUUCAGAACAUAUAUUGAAAUUAUACAAGGGGCUUAAGGACUCAAGUCAAUUGUAUAGAAAUUACGGCUUAGUAUAUUUCAAGGAUCCAAAAUUCAUCACGGUCUGAUCUCUAGGGCAUGAGUGGUAGGGUUUUAUACGCUACUUAAAGAGGUCAAUGUAAUUUGUUUAUCAAACGUGGACAUUAAAUUAUAAAAAUUUUAAAAGAAGAAAAAGAGAAAGAAGAGGAUAAAGCAUCAUCACAAAAAUCGCAUACCAAGCACGGUUAUCAGUUUUUGAAUGCAUCCAACUCAUUAUUAUAAACCAAACGAUUAAAAUAAAAUUGUUACAAAAAAGAAUGCAUUUGAAUAGUAACAUAACCUAUCAGCAAAAGAAAGCAAAUCGCAGAAGGAACUACGAGAAAGGAAGAAGUAGUUUGUAC
rnacentral:misc_RNA from 1 species